rnacentral:rRNA from 1 species
GACGAACGCUGGCGGCGUGCUUAACACAUGCAAGUCGAACGGGCCUUGUCCCCUUUUUUUUGGGGGUGGGGUUAGUGGCGAACGGGUGAGUAACACGUGAGUAACCUGCCCCUCACUUCUGGAUAGCCGCUUGAAAGGGUGGCUAAUACGGGGUGUUCUGGCCUGCUCGCAUGGGUGGGUUUGGAAAGAUUCGACCGGUUUUGGUUGUUUUGGUGGGGGAUGGGCUCGCGGCCUAUCAGCUUGUUGGUGGGGUGAUGGCCUGCCAAGGCUUUGACGGGUAGCCGGCCUGAGAGGGUGGGCGGUCACACUGGGACUGAGACACGGCCCAGACUCCUACGGGAGGCAGCAGUGGGGAAUAUGGCACAAUGGGCGCAAGCCUGAUGCAGCGACGCCGCGUGAGGGAUGGAGGCCUUCGGGUUGUGAACCUCUUUCGCCAGUGAAGAAGGUCCUGCUCUUUGUGGUGGGGUUGACGGUAGCUGGGUUAAUGAAGCGCCGGCUAACUACGUG